UGUGUCUUCAAGUGGUUCUAAGAACGGAUUGUGCAAGGGCGUGUAUUACGUUUUGGAAGCACAAUGAGCAAAUUCAAAAUGGUUACCAGUAUCAUCUCCAUUUUUAGGAUGUUGAUGAGAUAAACAGUAUUUUAUAACAUUUCAAAAGCAAGUAGAUAUACAUAAUUUAGGACAGUUUUGAAGGUGUACAUAAAUAUAGAUCCAGGAGAGCCAGCUGAACUUGACUUGAAAGAAGAUUUGAAGCUGUCUGAGGAGGGAAUUUAAUGAGCACUAAACUGGCAAUGAUAUUCAUAUUCCUGUACAAUAAACUUCAAACAGAAGACACCACCAUGUCAGAAGCUGUUCCAGGAUAAGUAAUGAAACUGGGGUGACAGAUAAUUACGCACUUUGAAGGAGAUAAUUGUAAGUAGCAUCAGCAGUGAAAUCACUUUGGUGAUUUAAUUGUUGAUGCUACUUAACAAAUUGCUUUGCCUCAGCUCUUGUAAAGGACAUUAAAGUGGAAAUGAGAUCCUGACGUUCUCUUUGUCAUUAUACUGAGAGGAGGAGUAUUUCUAUUCUUUCAAAGUGAAGGUCAGAAGAAACAAAGCAACAGUCACUGGAUUUCUUGUUCAUUUGCUGAAGGGGGUUAGCUGCAGAGUGAGAGCACCAACACAUGAAGAUGUGAAUUUGUGCUUCACACAUUUGCUGCCACCUUUACUGACUUGAUGGCUAACCAUAUGAGAGAAUGUGUGUUUUAUUGCUCUUUGUGAGAAAUAAUGUACCUGAUAGUAGUUGCAGUAUUAUAUUUCAAAUCUUUUCAAAGGAACCCUAAAAAUGUGGUAUGACAUGUAUGUGCAUCAGUAGCACUGAUAGUGGUUCAGUGGUUCAUAUUCUAUAAUGCUCAGUCCUCUCCUACUUGAUGAUGGUGAGGACAGAACAGCUGUAAUGUUAUCAGCAUGCUGAACAUUGGAAAUAUUUCUCCUUGUGAAAUGACUACAGAAAAAUGUUUCAGACAGAAAUUGCUUUAUUUCAAACUGUUCACUAAGAACUUAUUCUAACUACUCUAAUAUUAACACAAGGUCAAUUUAAAAAAAGAGGAGAAGACUGACAGUGUCCAUUAAAUGGUACAGCUCUCAUCAGCUUUUGUAAUAUUGUACUCUCCAAAUGGAUUUCUUAUUUGAAAAUAAUUGUAAGUCAGUGUUGUAGACCAAGAAAGGUACAGUGAUUUGGGACGAUGUUAGCUCUCGGGCCUCACAGUAUACUCUCCCAGCAACAAGGUCGAACUCCAGACUUUAAAAGAAUGGAAUGGAGUGAAGGGAGAAGUCAGAGGUUUGGGUGUGGACAGACCGUAGUACAGCCUGUGAGAUCUUGGAAAAAGCAUAUUUUCAUGGGCUGAAUUGCAUGAAGCAAUAGUUCCUUAAAAGCUGACAGCUGGCCAGUCUGUCGAGGAAACCCUGGUUUAGCCUAAUUGAAGGUUAACAGUUUAAUCUGGUCCACGUUCUGGUUAAUUAAACAUUUGGUUUGGUUGAUAUUUUUUAUGAUAUGAUCCACGUCCUAUGCUUGCACUGUGAAGGAUCUAUGGAAUGCAAAUAAAUUAUGUAAAAAUCCCAUUCCUGUAUAAGUCUCAAUAUGAUGUGUGUUCGGAAAUGUCACAGAGCCUGUUCGGGGUGUAACUUUGCCGUUGUGAAGGUCGGGGGAAAUAUGUCUGUGUCUUGAUCUAUGUAAAAAAUUCAGUUUGUAAGAUUCAUGAAGAUACCCUAUCAGUACUGUUCGAGUGUAAGGACGCAAGGACCAUAAUGCAUUCGGAUCGAGAGCUUGUCGGUUACUUUUCUUUUAGUUGGAAGAAUGUGUAGACAUGUUUGAUUGAAUUGGUGUUUCUCGGUUGCGUAGUCCAUUUUCUGGCAACCAAAAGGAAAAGGAAAGAGAGAGCUGGUUCAUCUAAAAGCAGGAGAGAUGAUCCUGAAGCUGAGAGAUGCCACCUGAUGUGAAUGAUCUGUGCCAGCUGCAGCUGACCUACCAGAUUGGGGACAGACUGAAGAGUGUCAAGAAGAAAGUGGAGGGUCCUUGUUACUACUGACAAACAUACUAAGGUAAACAAGCUUAGUGUUCACAAAAUCUAUUACAAUAGUUAUCAGAGUGGCAUUGUAGCAUUUUGUUUGAGGGUGGCCUGGAAAGUUUUGUUUCUUUGUAUAGAGGAAAUGUAACCUCAAAAUUUGAUUGAUAUUACACCCAGUACAGUUGAACACCAUAUUUUAUACUAAUGAAAACAUUGAACAAUCCUUGUGAACAGGUAAUUUUAUACAUCUGCUAGGUGUAUUUUAAAAUUUGCACAUUACUGUCAUGUUACCAUGACACUCUGCUGCUUUGUUUCUUACAGAAGUAGGUACGAUUACUGUUAUUGACUGUGACCAUUUCAGGUACAGUUACUACUCACUUUAUGCCUAGAAAUGAUAUGUAAUUGGAAGCCUGAAAUGAGUUCCCUUUAGUACAGUUAGGGCCACAGUUUUAGCAACUUCUGUGAGUCAUGUUGCAAGAUGCCAUUUCAUUGAAAUUUGUAAUUCCUGCAACAAAACAUGGACUGAAAGAGGUGAAAUUUGUCAUUUUCACUCUAAUGUGUAGGGUCUACAAGCUCACAAAAUGUAAUUGAAAUUCAAAGGGAUUAGGUUGAAAAUCUUGUUGUUUUGACAUGGAGUGGCAGUCCACAUGCACUGCUUUUAGAGGGGCUGUGCAGAUUGAAUUCUGCAUGUGCUUUAAAGGUAGAAAUGAGACUGGAUAGGUACUUUAAAUUCUGAAUGGCACUGCUGGUUACAGUGAAUGCUGUGAAUAGGAACUGACUUGCAACUAAUGCGCAGGUGUAUUGUUUUUUUCUCUUUCUUUCUUUCUUCUGUGUUAGUUGGUAGGGACACUGCUACCACAAUGAUUCUGAAACAUGCAGUUAAUGGUUGUACUCGUGAUGCUUUGAAAUAAAGUGACUGUCUUAAU